rnacentral:rRNA from 1 species
UACGUAGGGGGCAAGCGUUGUCCGGAUUUAUUGGGUGUAAAGAGCGUGUAGGCGGUUCGGUAGGUCCGUUGUGAAAACUCGAGGCUCAACCUCGAGACGCCGAUGGAAACCAUCGAACUAGAGUCCGGAAGAGGAGAGUGGAAUUCCUGGUGUAGCGGUGAAAUGCGCAGAUAUCAGGAAGAACACCCGUGGCUAAGGCGGCUCUCUAGUACGGUACUGACGCUGAGACGCGAAAGCGUGGGGAGCGAACAGG